rnacentral:lncRNA from 1 species
GUUCUAGUCGGUGAGCCUGGGAAAACCGACCGAGUUCGUUGUGCGCUCGUAAAACAACAAGUUGGGUUGUGAGCUUGUAAAACAACCGUCUGUAAUCGGUAGGAUUAUAGUGAAAUUUCCAAGAGGUCUUGGGGAGUGGAUGUAGGUGCUGGGGUGCACCGAACCACUAUAUGUCCUUUGUGUUUGUAAUGCCUCUAGUUAUUGUCUAACUAACACACUUACUUACUUAGAUAAAUUGCUUGCUUAAUUCUUAUCCGCACAUCUUUU